GAUGAAGAACGUAGUGAAAUGCGAUAAGUAAUGUGAAUUGCAGAAUUCAGUGAAUCAUCGAAUCUUUGAACGCACAUUGCGCCCCCUGGUAUUCCGGGGGGCAUGCCUGUCCGAGCGUCAUUACAACCCUCAAGCUCAGCUUGGUGUGGGGCCCCGCCGCCCCGGCGGGCCCUAAAGUCAGUGGCGGUGCCGUCCGGCUCCGAGCGUAGUAAUUCUUCUCGCUCUGGAGGUCCGGUCGUGUGCUCGCCAGCAACCCCCAAUUUUUUUCAGGUUGACCUCGGAUCAGGUAGGGAUACCCGCUGAACUUAAGCAUAUCAAUAAGCGGAGGA
rnacentral:misc_RNA from 1 species